CCUUUACUUUUAUGAUGCUGGUAUAGACGUUUGUCAAGCUCCCAAGCAGCCAUCUUUAAACAAUUCUCAUCGCGGCAGUUUGUACCGCAUUUAAAAAAUAAUAAACAAAAAAGGUUUUUAUGUGAUAAAACGACGAAAAAAUAAUUUCAAAGUUUUUAAUUUCUUUCCGGAGGUAUUGUAUUUAGGUAUUAAAAGAAAAUGGUGCGAAAUCGUAAGAGGAAGACGGAUUACGGUCUUCAUAGUGAAAAAGAUAUGGCAGAAGCGAUUAUGAUGGUUGAAAGUGGCGUGAGUCUUCGAAAAGCAGCAAAUGCAAAGCAUGUCAGACAGAUGUCUAUAAGUUCCCAAAGGAUAUUUUAAAGAAAUUUAAUAUUUGUUAGAACUUUUUCUUUUGUUGUUAGUUUUUCUAUUACUUUUUUAAAUGUUGUAACAUUGAGCCCCUGACCUUGUAACAGACUACCCCAGAUACGGGGCUAAGUGUUACAAUCGACUGAUUUAAUUAAUGUGCAAUUUAAAUUAAGUAGUUGCUAGUAAUGUUAAUUUUUGAGUUAUUUUAAUUAAAGAGAGAUUGUUAAAGUUUAUUUCCUUGCCAAAAAUAUGCUGAUUAAUACAAUAUUUUUGAUACUAUA